GGCGGCGGGCCUGGCCCCGGCCCCCAAAGGCCUGCUCCUCGUCAAUGAAGAUCCAGUUGUUUCUCUUGGUUGGAGGAAUGUCACUGGCCUCCCUUGAGGGUCUACUCUCCCAGGUCUUAUCAGACUUUGCAUCUUCAUCCAGCUUGUUGGCCUCAUGGCCAAACCCGGGCCGGACAGCAGCCUUGUCCUCCAGGGCAGAGGAGGAGGCAUUGGCCAGAGCAGGAUUAUUUUCUUCAUCCUCAUCCUCUUCUGCCCUGCACAUGGGCUCUUUGUCUACGGCCAGCUGUGAGCUCUCCUCUCCCAGGCCCUGCCUGACCCUCUCCAGGGCCUUCUCCUUCUCUUCUAUCUUCAGGGCCUUGAGGACAGGUUUCUUGAUGGGUCCCGACCUCCGGGUCCUGCCUGGAUGCUCUUGGUGCUGGCUUCGGGGCUCAGGUGUCCAAUCUGGCUCUGGGUUUGGCUGUUUCUUGGGGCUCCCUUCCUUCUCCCAGGAGGGAACAUGGAAGGAUGGCUCCUCCCGGGGUGCCUCCAGCUCGACACUGUUGGCUGUGUCAGCAGCCUUUGGCUGGUGGCCAACAUCCCAACUGCCAUACUCUGGCUUUUUCUCGGCUGGGACAAAGUCGGGCUCCAAUGGGGAACACCUGAGGUUUGGGAAAUCACGUUUCUCAGGUAUCACAGGAUUUAAAAAAAAAAAAAAAAAAAAAAAAAGGUGCAGUAAGAACAAAGCCCAAGCAAGGCUCCUGAUUCCAGUCACCAAGGCAAAAACACCCUCCUGGCACACAGAUCUCCCACGUGACCAAUGGUGUCAACAGCAGCAUCACCUGCGGUGAUGCCCAGGUCUGCCAGCUCCCAGGUGAGGAGGCCAAAGUGCCCCUGUGGAUCCUAAAGGCUCAUCGUAAACAAUGUCCCUGCCCCAGAAAGCUUCCAGCACCAUGGGCCAUGUGUGACCCCAUCCAAAUGCUCUCCAGUCUAUGCAAACCCAAAUAAUAGUAACACUAAUACACACUGAGGGCCAAGAGAUGACUCCGUAGUCAGGGUGACUGACACCAACCCCGACAACCAGUUUGAACCCGAGGACCCACAUGAUCCAAAGAGAGAACCAACUCCCACAGGCUGCCCCACUACAGGAGUACCAUGGGACACGAAAAGAGACAUACAAUAAAUAUAAUCAACUAAAAAAAAAAAAUGGCCUUUAGACUCACUAAGCCCUACCUUUGUACACAAUAUUCAUUUCAAAACCAAAAAUAACAAGCUCACAGUACAAAACCCAUCAGAUGUCUGCUGGCCAUCGUCUUUCUUUUUUUAAGAGAAAAAUGUUUUAAGAUCUGCUAUGGACAGGCCCUAUUAAUACCUGCUGGCCUGUAACACAAUCCGAACAGUUGACAGCAGAGGAGCCUCCUUAUGGAAUUUUAGAAAUACAUGCACAGGUCUUCCCAGUCUAUUCUGGUUUGAAAUAGAAACACCGAAUGAUCAAUCUUAAAUGGUAGAACAAUGGGAGACGUAACCAACCCACAGCCACUAGCAACCGGAGUUGGUACUUUGUGUUAGGAGAUAAAAAAGCUUUAAAGUACAGUAAAAUAAUCUUUCAGAGAAAAAAAAUGACGUGUGUGUGUGUGUGUGUGUGUGUGUGUGUGUGUGUGUGGGGAUAAAAAAGCUUUAAAGUACAGUAAAAUAAUCUUUCAGAGAAAAAAAUGACGUGUGUGUGUGUGUGUGUGUGUGUGUGUGUGUGUGCACGCGCGCGCGCGCGCGCAUGGAUGGAGGGCAGUUAAGAGGCCAAACAAAAAAAUCCCUCAGCAAAGCCCAAGGCUCAGAAGCCAGUUCUGACCGGCCAUUCCAGAAACUCCACUCUCCCAGGCUUUUGCCUCUAAGUGUCCUGGGAUUUCCCCUCACCCAUUCCAGGCUAGUGAACAGUGAAGACGACUAGGGCAGGCCCCACCAGGGUGCCACACAAACAGCGCAGAGAAUGUUAGAGCUCCCCAAGGAAUUAAAAUCUUGGGGGCAGGGAGAGUAGACUUCGUCUUCCCUAACCUGCCAGCCACCAGCAAACUAGGACCAGACCAGUGAAGGAGGCAGGACAACCAAAUGGCUGGAGAAUAAAGGGCCUUGAGGGGGCACGGAAGUUCCUUAAAACUCAGUAAAACGAUUAUGCCAAAUGAAGUAAGACAAUCCCCCACCCCCUCCCGGAUGCAAGUCACUGUUUACCCAAGUGGGGACCAACAAAUUACUCAGGGUUAGUCCAAGAGGCAAACUAGGCCUCAGUCAUCACUCACAGUAAGACCAAUAUUGGUCGUGUCCGCCCAGCCCCGCCUCCCCCUGCUUUGUUAUCCUCUGCCCGUCUAUGAUCUCCCUUUUACCUCAGAAUCUGGCUGAGCUCCUUGCCUCUUCUAAACUAGCCCCGUGCUUUUGGGAACUCGGGUAACAAAGAGAAUAUCAAAACAUUUGCUGGUCACAGAAUUUGGGGCGGGGCCGGGGUCACAAUUCUGUAAGCCACAACAGGAGGAAGAAAGUCAGGAAUUAAAAGGGACCAGCAAAACCAAGGAAUAUACAAGCCUACCUACCACCUUCCCACGGAUGGAAACGCUCUGCUGUUGAAUCUUACCUGCGGCUCCCACGAGAUACACGAGCAGUCGUAAUUAUUCCCAUUUUAUAGAUGCAAGAGCUGGGGCUCAGAGACUUGACUAAAGUAACUCAAGAGUAACAGGGCUCCAAAGGCACACUUGCCUGAACAAGCUGAAGGCUCACAAACAAUUACUUGCCCAUCCCCAAGGAGGGCAGUUACCUUCCAAAGACAAGACUCCCGAGUAUCCUGCCAGUUCUGUCCACUCAAUACAGCUCCAGCCCGCUGAAACCCAGCUACCCACUAGAAAGCCCCCUGCACUAGAGAGCCACAUGCCUUCCCACGCUCAUUCCCCAGAGGCCCACACUGACCAAGCUCCUACAAUGUGGGAAUUUUGCUGGGUUUUCUCGGUGGAGCCCAGGCUGGCCUGGGACUCCCAGCAGUCCGACAUCAACCAGUGUUUUGAACCCCUGCCCCAAUGUCGCCGCUUCAAGUCAGCACCUGUGGCAUGCUCCAGCAUGGAUGACACCACAAGUGGCCAACCUUGUAUCCUAGGUUGACAACGCGGAGUUACCAUAGAGCACCGACUGCAUACCAAGUCAUGUCUCUUUGCCAAUGAAAGCUGAGGAGUCCCCUCGGUUUGGAGGUGGCAGCAGAUAUCCAUCCCACUCUACAGCCUGUACCCCGCAGGUCCCAGCUUGCACCUCGACGGUGCAGACAUCACCAUACAAUACAAGCCCCUGCUGUUGUUCUGCCAAGAAAAAACGCCAAGGCUUCAAAUGGACAGACUGAACGCCCAAGGGAGAUGUAUAAUGCAAACAACACACCGAAAAUAUACGCUAACCUUUUCAGGAAAGAAAACCGCAGAUGAAAUUUAACUAUACUGCAAAAGACGGGCUUUUAUAAACGUUUCUCUCAGGCAGCCAUUUAGCAAAUGACACACUCCGGAGAGCAUCGGCGCCCCCCU
rnacentral:lncRNA from 1 species